CAGAAAACAAAAUUUUCUUCAAGCAAUAGAUGAUAAAUAUUUUGGGCUUUUGGUACUAAUAAGUAGUUCAAAGCCUCAGUAGCUUGAAUUUCAAAACUGAACAGGGCUCAUGGAACUACUCAAAAAUCGUGAGAGGCUGAUGGUUUAAGAAGUGGGAAAGACAUUGCUAAGAUGAUCUGUUUGCUGAUGGCAUUCUGUGACAGCUGCCAGCCUCAAGCAAGAUUGAAGAAUGCUAGAUGUUGAAGUGGCCUUUCUUCUCCUUUGCCUGAAGAGCUCUGAGCAAGGCAGCCAGAUGACCAUGAACUCUGUGUUUGGGAUCUGGAGAUAAGUGGGAGAGGCUCAGAGCAUCCUGCUGAUGCACCAGUUCAGG
rnacentral:lncRNA from 1 species